GUCACUACCCUUUCACGGACUCUUUUCUGAAACUCCCCGGCGUCCGAGAAAAAGCUAUGGCAAAACACUUGUAGCGACAGGCGUCUUCCGAUGAAGGUUAGUCCAAUGGUUCGAGAUCGUCGGAGGAAGAGGAACCAACAAGCGAGUAGAUCAAUGAGGAGCUCGAAGCGAUCGCUCGUUCGGCAGGCUCCGAUGAGGAUGAAUCUGUCGACGAUUCAGGGGCACUUGGCAAGACAUUACUAACCAUCUCCUUGUUGGGCUAGCCGCUACAGGGGCAUAACAGGCCCCAAAAUCUACACUAAAAGACUGGAUGAACCAAAUUCGUCGUCGUUUUGCCCUGACUUGUGAGUUAUAAAGUUUCUUGGAAAUCCUGAUGAAACGGUAUUUUCUUCCUUCCUUGAAAUAUGUGAAUUUUAUUGAGGUUAGAUUGGGGUUUGUGGAGAAAACUGAUUAUUGCAUCAAUCAUGGAGCAAGUACGAAGUGUUCUAUAUUGACUAAUUAAA